CGAGGGAAGAGCGGGGCGGCGCCCGCGCGUUACGUGAUGGAACCCGCCCGGCGGGCGCAACAGGAGGCCCGCCUGGGGGCAGUGCGCUGCCGGCCGCGUCACGUGACGCUUCUUGCCAACAGGUCGCCCGAGGCGGGACGCGGGGGUCACAGAGGGCAGUGGUGAACUGUGUGGAAUUGCUGAUGCUGGAGCUGAAACCUGAAUAUGAGGAUGCUCUAAACUGAUUUGCAGCACAGUAAAAAUGGAAGAAUAAGAGCUGUGUGAGGAUACAAGAAGAAAACAGUCAUUUGCAAACAGGAAGAGUUCCCUCACCGGACACUAGAUCGGGCCUUGAUCUUGGACUUCUAGUCUCCAGGACAGUGAGAAAUAAAUGUUUGUUGUUUAAGCCACCCAGUCAGUCUAUAACACCCUAAACUAAGAGAACACAGUCUUGAAGGUUUGCUUUAAAAAUGAGGAAACCAAGGCCUAGGGAGGAGAGACAAAACACAGUGUGGAAGGACUCUUAGAUGGCUUUGAUAAACCUAAAUUGUACUCUUGUGUGACUGUAGGCAAGUUUGUGACUAGGCCUCAAAUUCCUCUUCUGCAAAGGGAGAAGACUGAGAAGCGGUAAGUGAUUUUCAAGAUGCGUUUUGAGGCAUUUACAGUCUGCUUUUAUGAUUUUGAGAUGGAGUGUCUUGGCUGAAGUCAUACAGUGUUCUAUCACCUGGCCCAAUGUUUUGUUUUAUGACACCACACUGAGUUUCCAUUAAAAAAUUUUUUUAUGUGAACUAAUUUUUCUUAUGUAUUUGUAUUGCUAUGAAAAUACUACCAGAAGGCAGCAUUGUACAGUGCAUAAGCAUAAACUUUGAAACCAAUUGGACCUAGGUUUGGAUGUAGGUCUACUUUUAGCUCUUGUGACCUUGGAGGAGAUACUUAACCCCUUCUCAGCCUCGUUUUGUCAUUGUAAGAAAACUGUGUAUAAUACCUGCCUUAUAGGGUUGCUGAUUAGAUUGAGAUUGUGUCUAUAAAGCAUCACGGUCAUAGCAGGUACAAAACAUUCUUAGUCCAAUCAGGCUGCUAACAGAAAUUCAUUUCUCAUAGUUUUGGAGGUUGAGAAGUCCAAAACCAAGGCUCUGGCAGAUCUGGUGUGUGGUGAGAACCAACUUCCUGGUUUUCAGAUGGCAGUAAAAGGGCUAACUGGUUCUUGGCCUUUUCUUAUAAGGGCACUAAUCCCAUUCAUGAGGGCUCUGCCCUCAUUACCUAAUCAUUUCCCAAAUUAUGCCCUGCUUCCUAAUACUAUCACAUUGGGGAUUAGGAUUUCAGUAUAUCAAUUUGAGGAAUAUACAAACAUUCAGUCUGUAGCACAUUUCACAUCUCCCUCCUUCUUAAUGAUUUGGGGAGAUAAGGAAUUACGGCAAAGAGUUCAUAAACCAGGAUGGAGAUGGGGCAUGCAUUUUUUCUAUAAGUAAUAUUUAUUCAGGAAAACAUUUUAGUUCAAUCAGUCUUGUUGAAAGCCUUUUCAAAAUAUUACUCUGUGCUCCUCCUUUGGAACACUCUGAAUAUAAUUGGAUCUUUCUUGAUGACUGAAGACCUUGCCAUGCCUCAGGCUUAUUAUUCAGCUCUUUGGAUAAAUAUGCAGAAGGUGCAAAACUUAGUUGGAAUGUGUUGAACUCAGGAAAUCUUCUAGAAGUUUGUUGUUUAUUUUGAAUUGAAUUCUUUGUUAACAAUUUUAUCGUGGUCAGACUUCUAAAUAGUGUAAGCAUUCCAUUUGUAGAUGUGUAGAUAUUGGAUAUUGUGUUCUGGUUAAACAAAUGAUCAACAGUUUUUUUUUUCUUUUAAUGACUUCUUUGUUAACAGACCUGAACCAGGAAUCAUCUUUAACAUGAGGAAAUAUGAAGGCCUUUGAGGCCUUAAGGAAUGGAUACCCUAAUGGGGGGAGGGGCAAAA